UACGGAGGGUGCAAGCGUUAUCCGGAUUCACUGGGCUUAAAGGGUGCGUAGGCGGGCUGGUAAGUCAGUGGUGAAAUCUCCAGGCUUAACUUGGAAACUGCCAUUGAUACUAUCAGUCUUGAAUACCGUGGAGGUCAGCGGAAUAUGUCAUGUAGCGGUGAAAUGCUUAGAUAUGACAUAGAACACCAAUUGCGAAGGCAGCUGGCUAGACGAAUAUUGACGCUGAUGCACGAAAGCGUGGGGAGCAAACAGG
rnacentral:rRNA from 1 species